rnacentral:rRNA from 1 species
AACGAACGCUGGCGGCAGGCUUAACACAUGCAAGUCGAGCACCCCGCAAGGGGAGCGGCAGACGGGUGAGUAACACGUGGGAACGUGCCUUUUGGUUCGGAAUAGCUCCUGGAAACGGGUGGUAAUGCCGAAUGUGCCCUUUGGGGGAAAGAUUUAUCGCCAUUAGAGCGGCCCGCGUCUGAUUAGCUAGUUGGUGAGGUAAAGGCUCACCAAGGCGACGAUCAGUAGCUGGUCUGAGAGGAUGACCAGCCACAUUGGGACUGAGACACGGCCCAAACUCCUACGGGAGGCAGCAGUGGGGAAUCUUGCGCAAUGGGCGAAAGCCUGACGCAGCCAUGCCGCGUGAAUGAUGAAGGUCUUAGGAUUGUAAAAUUCUUUCACCGGGGACGAUAGUGACGGUAUGUGCAGAAGAAGGACCGGCCAACUACGUGCCAGCCGCCGCGGUAAAAC